GUCUGCCUGGCUUCCUAUUCACUUUGGGUGAUGCAUCAGAAAGAGCGCAAUGCCUCUGACACAGCCGCCUGCCUGGAGACAGACUCAGGCACUGGACAUGGACACAGAGGAUGACCCCUUGUUACAGGAUGCCUGGCUAGAUGAGGAAGAUGAAGAGGUAGCCUUCAGCUCCCGGAAGAGACGAGAGGGUGCUCUGUUGUGUGGGAAAAGCCCAUGCAAAGUCAGGCCCCUGCGUGUCACACUGCCGGUGUCUGGCUUCUGGAAUAUUGUUGGCUGGGUAUUUACCAACCCGUACUGUGCUGGCUUCAUCCUUUUCCUGGGCUGUGCCAUCCCUGCUGUUCUUGCUGUUGUCAUGUUCCUCCACUACCCAGCCCUGGAUAUUGACAUCUCCUACAAUGCUUUCGAGAUCCGCAACCACGAGUCCUCUCAGCGCUUUGAUGCACUUGCCUUGGCCCUCAAGUCCCAGUUUGGGUCAUGGGGGAGGAACCGCCGGGACCUGGCUGACUUUACCUCUGAAACCCUGCAGAGGCUUAUCUUUGAGCAGCUCCAGCAGCUUCACCUCAAUGCUUCCCAUCUUGGGGUCAGCACACGGCUCAAGCGCAGCACACCAGAGGGCAGGAUGAGCUCCCCCAAGCCCCAUGUCCACCUGAACCCAGGAAACCAGACUUCCCGAACUGGGAGGGGUGCCCCACGCUGGGACUACUCCAGCACUUAUAUCAGCACCAACACACAGACACAUGCCCACUGGCGCAUCGAGCUCAUUUUUCUGGCUCGGGGGGACUCUGAAAACAACAUCUUUACCACUGAGCGCCUGGUUACCAUCCAUGAGGUCGAGCGCAAGAUCAUGGACCACCCUCGCUUCCGGGAGUUCUGCUGGAAGCCCCAUGAGGUCUUGAAGGACCUGCCCCUGGGCUCCUACUCCUACUGCUCCCCUCCCAGCUCCCUCAUGACCUACUUCUUCCCCACUGAGAGAGGAGGGAAGAUUUACUAUGAUGGCAUGGGCCAAGACCUUGCUGACAUCCAAGGGUCUCUGGAGCUGGCCAUGACACACCCUGAAUUCUACUGGUAUGUGGAUGAGGGCUUGUCUGCUGAGAACAUGAAGAGCUCCCUGCUGCGGAGUGAAAUCCUCUUUGGGGCACCACUGCCGAACUACUACUCAGUGGAGGACCGCUGGGAGGAGCAGCGCCGCAAGUUCCAGAACUUUGUCAUCACCUAUGUGGCCAUGCUGGCCAAGCAGUCCACAAGCAAAGUCCAGGUGCUGUACGGAGGGACGGAUUUGUUUGACUAUGAAGUGAGGAGGACUUUCAACAAUGACAUGUUGCUGGCCUUCAUCAGCAGUAGCUGCAUAGCUGUCUUGGUCUACAUCCUUACCUCCUGCUCAGUGUUCCUGUCAUUCUUUGGCAUUGCCAGUAUUGGACUAAGCUGCCUGGUGGCUCUGUUCCUGUACCAUGUCGUAUUUGGGAUCCAGUACCUGGGUAUACUCAAUGGUGUGGCUGCCUUUGUCAUUGUGGGGAUUGGGGUUGAUGAUGUCUUUGUUUUCAUCAACACCUACCGCCAAGCCACCCACCUCAAGGACCUGCGACUGCGCAUGAUCCACACUAUCCAGACAGCAGGGAAGGCCACCUUCUUCACUUCCCUGACCACAGCUGCAGCAUAUGCUGCCAACAUCUUCUCUCAGAUCCCAGCCGUGCAUGACUUUGGACUCUUCAUGUCGCUGAUUGUGUCCUGCUGCUGGGUAGCUGUGCUCUUCACAAUGCCAGCUGCUCUUGGAAUAUGGACCCUUUAUGUGUCCCCACUAGAGACCUCCUGUCAAACCAGCUGUAGUCAGAAGUGCACCAAAAAGAGUGCCUUGCACCUGGCUGAAGAUCUCUUCAUUGCCUCGGAGGCCACCUCCAGAGCAGGCAGAGAGACGCUUCCCUAUCUUGAUGAUGACAUCCCACUGCUCAGUGUGGAGGAGGAGCCUGGCUCCCUGGAAAUGGGGGAUGUCCCCUUGGUAUCUGUGAUGCCAGAAAAUCUGCAGCUCCCUGCAGAGAAGAGCAACCGGGGUCAAUUGAUAACUCAUCUGCAGGAACUGCUGGAACACUGGGUGCUGUGGUCUGCAGUGAAGAGCAGAUGGGUGAUUGUGGGGCUCUUUCUCCUUGUUUUGCUCCUGUCCAUAUUCUUUGCUAGCCGCCUCCAUCCAGCUAGCCGUGCUCCAGUCUUGUUCCGGCCAGACACUAACAUCCAGGUGCUGCUAGACCUGAAAUACAAUCUGAGUGCUGAAGGCAUCUCCUGUAUUACCUGCUCAGGUUUGUUUCAGGAAAAGCCCCACAGUUUGCAGAACAACAUCCGAACCUCCUUGGAAAAAAAGAAGAGGGGCUCAGGGUCACCUUGGGGAAGCAAAGGGAGCAUAAGUGAUACAGGGCAACAAGAUCUCCAGGGGACUGUGUAUAUCUCCAAGUCCAGAAGCAAGGGAAGACCAGCCAUCUACAGAUUCUCACUGAAUGCCAGUGUCCCUGCCCCCUGGCAGAUGGUGUCACCGGGAGACGGGGAGGUGCCUUCAUUCCAGGUGUAUAGAGUGCCUUUCGGUAACUUCACCAGGAAGCUGACAGCUUGUGUGUCCACAGUAGGGCUGCUUAAGCAGACGAGCCCCAGGAAGUGGAUGAUGACCACCUUGUCCUGUGACACCAAGAGAGGCUGGAAGUUCGACUUCAGUUUCUACGUGGCCGCCAAGGAGCAACAGCGGACACGGAAACUGUAUUUUGCCCAGUCGCAUAAGCCCCCUUACCAUGGCCGAGUGUGUGUAGCACCUCCUGGCUGUCUUCUCAGCUCUAGCCCAGAUGGACCCACCAAAGGCAUCCUCUAUGUUCCCAGUGAGAAAGCACCCAAAGCAAAGCUGUCAGCCACUUCUGGAUUUAAUCCUUGCAUGAACACGGGCUGCGGGAAGCCAGCAGUGCGGCCACUGGUAGACACAGGAGCCAUGGUGUUUGUAGUGUUUGGUAUCAGAGGUGUUAAUCGCACAAGACGCCCGGACAACCACGUCAUCGGAGACAUGGGCAGCGUUAUCUAUGAUGACAGCUUCGACCUCUUCAAAGAGAUUGGCAACCUGUGCCGCCUCUGCAAAGCCAUAGCCAGCAACACCGAGCUAGUGAAGCCAGGAGGGGCUCAGUGCCUGCCCUCUGGUUACAGCAUCUCCUCCUUUCUGCAGAUGUUGCAUCCUGAGUGCAAGAACAUCCCUGAGCCAAACCUGCUGCCCGGACAGCUCUCUCAUGGAGCAGUGGGGGUGAAGGAUGGGAAGGUGCAGUGGAUCUCCAUGGCAUUUGAAUCGACAACCUACAAAGGGAAAUCUUCCUUCCAGACAUAUGCUGACUACCUGAAAUGGGAGACAUUCCUGCAGCAGCAACUCCAGCUCUUCCCAGAGGGCUCUGCUCUCCGGCACGGUUUCCAGACCUGUGAGCACUGGAAGCAGAUCUUCAUGGAGAUCAUAGGCAAGUGACCGCCCUGUUUCCCUCCCCGAGGAGCCCAUGCUCUCUGAUACAUCUUCACAGCACGCUCUGUCCCAUCUGAUGGGCACGUGUUACAUCUUCAGUCCCUUACCAUUGCUGUGCGAACUCCUAAAGCUUGUUUCUGCCCCAAGCAGCAUAUACUGUCAAAAUCCUAGGCAGACCCCAGGGAAAUAGAGAAAGGAAGGGACUCUGCCCUGCUGAUGUGAGAGGCAAGAAGUUGAUCAUCCACUCUUCACUUUCAUCCUCCCCUUCCCAUCUCCCCUCAGUGAGUCCCUGCCUGCCUUGUUGCCAACAGGGACACGGUGCCUUUCUCAUCCCAGCUGUUGCCUUCCAGGAGUCAAAUUAGCUGGCCCUUUUUCUUCCAGGAGUGCAGAGUGCCCUGUACGGUCUCGUCCUCUCGCUGGUUAUCUGUGUGGCUGCAGUGGCGGUGUUUACCACUCACAUCCUCCUCCUGCUGCCAGUGCUGCUCAGCAUUUUAGGGGUGGUCUGCUUGGUGGUGACAAUCAUGUACUGGUCUGGCUGGGAAAUGGGAGCUGUGGAAGCCAUUUCCCUCUCCAUCCUCGUUGGCUCUUCUGUUGAUUACUGCGUGCACUUGGUGGAGGGCUACCUGCUGGCGGGGGAAAGCCUGCCACUACACCAGGCAGAGAGCUUUCUGGAACCGCAAAGCUAAAAGAGGAGAAGGUGGGAAGGCCAUCUGAUCCCUUUCAAAACCCUUCUCUCUGCCCCUCCCCUCCCCUUGGCCAAGGUCAGCAUUGCAAUGAUAACUCUUGAGGUGAUGUCCUAUCCCCACGCCAAGCCUGUGCCUCAUUACCUGAGCCUUCAAAAACAGCAGUGAGCUGUUGGACAGGCGUGGGAAACAGCAUUUUCUGGAACCCUUUGCCCUGUACCCAAGCUAGACCAGCAGUGAACUUGCUGCACAAGAGCUGUUAUGGGUGUCAUUGUGGGAUCCAAACUAGACAUGCUGGGUGACACCACCUGCAGUGACCUGCUUUCGUCAUUUGUGGAGGGCAUCAGAACGCAUGGCUUUCCCCUUCUUUCUGAAGGGACAGUGCACCUUUUGCUGGGAUCACUUGGGUCUGUGAACAGCCAUCAGGAAGGCAAGCGGUGCCCUCAGCGACCUGCCCUCCUCUCCCUCAUCUCAGUAGUGAGGCCAAGGCAGUAUUGAUGCCCAGUCCCACCUCCUGCUCAGUGUGUGACCUCACCAGUCACUGACUCUGCUCUUCAUGGUGGAAAGAAAACAGCCUUGAGGGCCCUGCAGAGCCUUUUGGUCAUAGCAGUCAGCUCUUAGCCUGAGGACAAGCUAACCACUGGGGCCAGGUAGAGCCCAUACCUGGUGGCACGCACGGAUAAACAGUGGUGCAUCCUCUGUGGCACCUUAGAGACACCCUCAGUUGUGGAGACGUGAGGGCAGCGGAGCUUCAGCCUGUGGCUGCUGCCUGCUCAAAGCAGAUGGUUUAUAUUAAAGUAAAAUGAAAUCGCAAACUGGUGCCAUUAACAAGUACAUUUUAAGCAUCACUGAUUCUGUCAUACUUUUAAAAUUGAAAUAGCUAAGUGUGUGCAUUGAUAUGCAGCACAUCUGGUCCUCGGCAGAAGGGGAGGGGUCGUGCCCCCUGGGAGAUGCAUUAAAUGUUAUUUACAGGGAUGCCAAUACAGAGGGGUGGCCGGAAAGCAGCCUGCCUCCAUUUGUUUGCAGAUACCAUGUCGCUGGUGGCUUUGUGUUCUCUGUCUGGAUUGACCCCCUUUUUAAGAUGGAAAUUCCAGGAAGCACAUCCGCAUUGCCAGCCAAGUUCUGGGCACUGUGCUGCUGAGACAGACCAGCAGCUGCUUCUGCGUGGCUCAGUGUAUCCGUGCUCUGAUCCCUGCCAGUCUUACACCUUCACAUCAUGUCAUCCCUGUGAAAUCAGAUCAAAUGUUUGUUCCUCAACUAGGUUCCCCAAGGCGUCAGCUGGUGAGAGGAAUGCCAGGACAGGACUCAUGCUGAUGCCAGGGGCAAUCCAGAGCAGUCCUGCUGCAGGCAGUGAGGGUGGUGAGAGCCUGAGCAGACCUGGUUUCUUCCUUGUCAUCCCAUGGUGCAGCCUAGUUACCUCUUUCUGCAAACUGUUAAAUGUUCCUUGCACCUAUCUCUGAUCUGCACCAGUCCCUUCAUAAUGAACCCUGUGCCCAUGAAUAAAUGGUUCUGGAAAGGAUUUUUUACUAUCCUUAAGCUGUGCUGCUUUGAUGACUGCUGUGCACAGUUCAGCCCCAACAUUGAUCUGUAAGCCAUGCUUUUUUCCCUAUGUCUGUUCUCCAAAUUUAAUUACUAGUGGUGCCCUGAGCACUCCUAAGUGGCAGUGAGCAUAGAGGGCAGUGUGCUGAUGAUGUACAGCCCCAUGAGACCUGUGUGGGUGCUGCAGGGGAGAGCAAGGGAGCCCUAGCGCUGCUGCAGUGGAUGCUCUGGCUGGUGGCUUGACCUGAAUUUAGCUAAUGCUUCAAGCUCCUUGGGGUCUUUAAAGCUGAUGGAUAUUCGCAAGGUCACCAGACAAGAGAAUAAGGUGCUGAGUCCACCCUUAGAGGAAGUUCCUCCUUCUAUGAGCAUGAAGAAACCUUGAAAGGUCCUUAAGACAAGGCAUAGAUGUGCUUUGAAUCCUGCCUAAUUUAAAGCUCAUUUAAGCCCCUGGUGUCCUAUGUUUGUGCUCACUAUAAAGAGGCUCUGUAAGCCCCCCACCUCCAGAGUGAUUCUGGACACACCAUGCUGGGACCAUUCAUUCAGCCACUCUUGGAAGGCAAAGAUUAAUUUCAAAGUAGUGGAAAACCUUUUAUGUCUCUUGGGUCUGAUCUGGCAGCAUCUGAUCUGCAGACAAAAAUAACAGAUUUCUUGGCACCUGACAGGAUUUCACCUGUUUUCUGGAGCAGGCAGGGGAAAGGACAAGUUAUCAUUUUUCCCUUCUCUUCUCUGGCUAGCCCAGGCUCGCUUAGUGCAGAAGGGCUGGCUGGCACUAGCUGGAGCAGGACUUCACCUUGACCUUGUUUGUCCAAGGUGGUACUUGGACAAAGGAGAGCAAUGGCUGGAGUGAUUCAGAAAGAAUGAGAGACUGAGAUAGGUGCAGAGCUGUAGCAGAUGAUUCACAAAGGCGUACUGAGGAAAUUGUACCCCUCCAGCAAGGAAACUGAGGCAAGGAGAAGAGGAGGAACUUACUCCAGAUUAUAGUAGGAUGGCAGAAGAGCCAGGAGAUGAUCGUAGGUGAUGCUUUUCACUGCAAGGACCUGCUGGAUGUUGGUAACCUGAAAAAUUGAUUAAACAUAGUCAUGACACUGGUCUUAAGAUCUAACUAGACACUUGCCCCAUCACCAUUUCACUCUGCACAGGUCUAUGUUGAGGGUGGCUGGUGCUUUCUCCAUGUGCAGUGGAGUGAAAGAGGUUUAGAGGUGGGGCCCAGCCUUCCCCAAAAUGUUUGCAACACCCUGAUCUCCCCAAGUGUUUGUGGAGACAAUAAAUCGGUAGCAGAUGUGUACAUUCAUCUCCAUGUAGGCAGUGUCUUCCUUGGGAUUAGAAAAUAUUCAUAAAAUUAUAGAGGUAAGAAAACGGAUGGGUUUAUCUGAGCAAAUGUGAAGGUGGGGCUGACAGCCCUGCUGGGAAUCGGUGCUCUGAGGCAGAUGCUCGUAGCAAUAAAAAGCAAGGCCUCACCUGUCUGGCGCUGUUCCGGGAGCAGAUGCUUGCCCUAAAUUAAUUCCUCCCACAUCUCUACCUAUCUUCUUUCUCUGAUGACUCCUCUGUUUCCCAGACCAUCUCUUGGGCCCUGUCGUCUUGCUGAGCAAGGUUCAGCCUUCUCUGUGGUAGCUGCUCGUGCCCAAGGUGCUCACAGAGUCUGGACUGAAAGUGGCUAGAGCUUGUCUCGGGGAGAAUUUCUCAAGCAGAGGAAGCUAGGGAGUUAAAAUGCUUCAUAUGAAGCUGUCAGUUUUCAUGUUUUUAAACAGUAGAACACAGCAGACCAGCCUUACUUGGAAGAGAAUGCUCUGAUUUUCCAUUUCAAAACAAUUUUGCUGCAAUUAAAAAGAAACGUACACGAGUUCCCAGUUACAGCACACUGCAAUGGAAUAUUUUUGUUAACUGGCCACUCCUUUAUUUCUAGUAAAUCUUGUUUUGGGGGUUACAUUCUGAAAAGUUGAUGUUAAUGUUUCAGGAUGGGGCUCAUUCUGAAACUGUGCAGUCUCCUACAAAUUGGAGCGGGUGCUGUCCUCACCAGAAGCUCUGUCCCUGCCAGCCCAGGGCAGUUGCAGAAGAGCACUGCUCCGCAGUGUUGAAGCACUGUGAUAUAUGCACAGAGCUGGUGUUGCUGCUCAUUGCCUUCAGUGGAGCUGCUAAGUGAGUUCAAGGCUCCCCGUGGCUGUGGACACUCAGGGAGAGAGUCCCUGCUCGCAACAGCCCUGUCAAAACCAGCUUUGGAGCGAGGAGGAACAGAGUUGAUGUGAUUUGCAAAGAUCAGUGUCAGAGAAAGGAAUAGACCCAGGUCUCCUUGCUUGCUUUGUUUCCUUAUGUUGUGGUGCCUCUUGAGGUGCUGGGUUCACGCGGGGUCUGUACAGGCAACUGGGGCAUCAGGUUUGGACACUGACCUCAGCAAUUCCAAAGGCUGCAGAUACUGAAAGGGGAUCAGUGGCUGAGUUGGGCUGUGUUUCUCAAUCCCUGUUGGAUCUGAAACUAUGCCAGAGCAAAGGCAGCCUGAGAAAUAUCUCCAAGGAGGAGGACGUGUGGCAUGCUUACAGAGUUACUGGGACCACUGAUAACGGUAGUCUGGAUGCAGUGGUCUCUGGAGACCCCGGGCUUUGUCUCCGCUGGAACGAACUGGGAUGUUGCUUUAUGUCAUGGCAUCUAAUUCUUUUAGCUUGUCCUGCACUGAAUUUUAUUACCAGAGCAGCCUGCCCUCCUGGAAGGUUAUAAAAGGCUUUUUAUUUAACCCUGUGACAUGUAUAAAUCCUCCCACACUGUCCACAAAGGAAGCUGUGCAGAUUGAUUUGCAGCCAGGCAGGACAAAUUCUCAGUCUCUUGGUUACUUCUUCCGAAAUCACUCCUCACCCCAGAUAGCACACAAGCCAUAGUUCACAGGUUUUUCAAAGGCCUCUGCUAACUGCUCUGCCCUGGCUCAGUACCCACAGUCCUGGAGCUAAAAGUCUUUUAAGGCCUGUCUCCAUCCUGAGGAUGUUGUUUGGUUGUUCGGCUUUCUCCCCUCCACUCCUCCUUCAGGCAGUUGCUGGAGGGGACAGGAGGGUGAUGGCCAGGACCAGAGGCAGAGCAACAAGCAGAUGAGUAGAAAGGUUUGCAGGGGGAAGCAGAAGAGAACAAAUGGGAGGGAGGAUGGUUCAAAAGCCAAGGGGAGAAAGAGGUGUGAGCACCCCAAGGACAGAGGGAGGGAGGGCGCUGCCGUUUCACCACGUCAUGUGCAGACCUUAGAGUGUCGGUUCUCAGAGUGAUGUAGCACAAUUCCUGAUGUAACGUACGCGUGUUACUUUUGUAAGUCGUCUCCUACCCUCACUAUUUUCAGUGUUUCUUGAUUUUUGGAGACUGUUGUAAAUAAAAGAUUUUGACAUUCGCA